rnacentral:rRNA from 1 species
UGCCAGACUCCUACGGGAGGCAGCAGUGGGGAAUAUUGGGCAAUGGGCGCAAGCCUGACCCAGCAACGCCGCGUGAAGGAAGAAGGCUUUCGGGUUGUAAACUUCUUUUAUUCGGGACGAAGCAAGUGACGGUAUCGAAUGAAUAAGCCACGGCUAACUACGUGCCAGCAGCCGCGGUAAUACGUAGGUGGCGAGCGUUAUCCGGAUUUACUGGGUGUAAAGGGCGUGUAGGCGGGAGUGCAAGUCAGAUGUGAAAACUAUGGGCUCAACCCAUAGCCUGCAUUUGAAACUGUGUUUCUUGAGUACUGGAGAGGCAGACGGAAUUCCUAGUGUAGCGGUGAAAUGCGUAGAUAUUAGGAGGAACACCAGUGGCGAAGGCGGGCUGCUGGACAGCAACUGACGCUGAGGCGCGAAAGCGUGGGGAGCAAACAGGAUUAGAUACCCGCGUACC